ACAGCCCCGUACACAAAAGCGCAUGUGCUGUGAGCUCGAUGAGUAGGGCGGGACACGUGGUAUCCUGUCUGAAUAUGGGGGGACCAUCCUCCAAGGCUAAAUACUCCUGACUGACCGAUAGUGAACCAGUACCGUGAGGGAAAGGCGAAAAGAACCCCGGCGAGGGGAGUGAAAAAGAACCUGAAACCGUGUACGUACAAGCAGUGGGAGCACCCUUCGGGGUGUGACUGCGUACCUUUUGUAUAAUGGGUCAGCGACUUAUAUUCUGUAGCAAGGUUAACCGUAUAGGGGAGCCGCAGGGAAACCGAGUCUUAACCGGGCGUUAAGUUGCAGGGUAUAGACCCGAAACCCGGUGAUCUAGCCAUGGGCAGGUUGAAGGUUGGGUAACACUAACUGGAGGACCGAACCGACUAAUGUUGAAAAAUUAGCGGAUGACCUGUGGCUGGGGGUGAAAGGCCAAUCAAACCGGGAGAUAGCUGGUUCUCCCCGAAAGCUAUUUAGGUAGCGCCUCGUGAAUUCAUCUCCGGGGGUAGAGCACUGUUUCGGCUAGGGGGCCAUCCCGGCUUACCAACCCGAUGCAAACUGCGAAUACCGGAGAAUGUUAUCACGGGAGACACACGGCGGGUGCUAACGUCCGUCGUGAAGAGGGAAACAACCCAGACCGCCAGCUAAGGUCCCAAAGUCAUGGUUAAGUGGGAAACGAUGUGGGAAGGCCCAGACAGCCAGGAUGUUGGCUUAGAAGCAGCCAUCAUUUAAAGAAAGCGUAAUAGCUCACUGGUCGAGUCGGCCUGCGCGGAAGAUGUAACGGGGCUAAACCAUGCACCGAAGCUGCGGCAGCGACACUCAGGUGUUGUUGGGUAGGGGAGCGUUCUGUAAGCCUGUGAAGGUGUGUCGUGAGGCAUGCUGGAGGUAUCAGAAGUGCGAAUGCUGACAUAAGUAACGAUAAAGCGGGUGAAAAGCCCGCUCGCCGGAAGACCAAGGGUUCCUGUCCAACGUUAAUCGGGGCAGGGUGAGUCGACCCCUAAGGCGAGGCCGAAAGGCGUAGUCGAUGGGAAACGGGUUAAUAUUCCCGUACUUGGUGUUACUGCGAAGGGGGGACGGAGAAGGCUAUGUUGGCCGGGCGACGGUUGUCCCGGUUUAAGCGUGUAGGUGUGUGUUCCAGGUAAAUCCGGUUCACUUUAACACUGAGGCGUGACGACGAGGCACUACGGUGCUGAAGCAACAAAUGCCCUGCUUCCAGGAAAAGCCUCUAAGCAUCAGGUAACAUCAAAUCGUACCCCAAACCGACACAGGUGGUCAGGUAGAGAAUACCAAGGCGCUUGAGAGAACUCGGGUGAAGGAACUAGGCAAAAUGGUGCCGUAACU
rnacentral:rRNA from 1 species